GAUGAAGAACGUAGCGAAAUGCGAUAAGUAAUGUGAAUUGCAGAAUUUAGUGAAUCAUCGAAUCUUUGAACGCACCUUGCACCCUUUGGCAUUCUGAAGGGUAUGCUCGUUUGAGUGUCAUUGUACUCUCACACUCCCGAUCUUUGCAUUGGGAGCAGUGGACUUGGGUUUGCUGCUUCACCGUCGCUUACCUCAAAUAGGUUAGUGCAACUCUUGGUUGGACAUAGUACGGCGUGAUAAGUGUUCUUCGCCGGUGCCUCGCAAAGAGGGUGGCCGAUCGGGAUGUUGUGCUCCAAACCGUCUUCGGACAAUCUCUGACGACUUGACCUCAAAUCGAGUAAGACUACCCGCUGAACUUAAGCAUAUCAAUAAGCGGAGGA
rnacentral:misc_RNA from 1 species